rnacentral:lncRNA from 1 species
AAGAAAUAUCAACAUCUGAAUUAACUUCUUCUCUCAGUGCAUGUGCUUAUAUUGAAGACUCCCCCUCCGCAGAUUUUUUUCUUUGCUGUGUAGAAAAUCAUAAAAUGUGCUACUUGUCCUAGGUCCCCUGUAAGGUUUGGAGCAAGAGUAGAUGGAACUGGAACUCAGGGACAAUUAUUAUCUUUCUUCUGCCUUCAGAGCUAAGGAGAGACAGUUAAACCAGCAGGAUGCUCUUUAUCCAUCUUUUUGAAACUAUGGCAAAGGUAUGACGAAAACAUAAACAAGCCUAGAAUCUCAGUGUGCCUGAUGAUUUGUUUGAAAUAAAGUCAUGUGUGACUAAAGUGAAGCCUGUCCUUCUGCAGUGUAGCAACUCUGUGUGGGAAACAUUCAAAAUCCCUUGGAAUGAGGGGACACGGUCUGGGUCACCCCUGUGGCAGCAAAAGCCACACUAAGAUAAUGCAAUGUACACUGCAAUUUGAAUAUUAUGCACUCUUUGUAAGUAUAUAUUAAUGUGGAAAACUGUACUACAAAAAGAAAGAUGACAGAAUUACUCCCCCAUUUUGGUUUCUUUGAGGAAAUAGGAAUUUCAGGUAUGUAAGGACCACUGAGCUGGAGUGUAGCUAGUGAUCAGCAGAGUGAGUAGUAGCCGUGAAAUAUUCAAAGGUUUUAACUUUAGUGCCAACAAGACACAAGGUAAUCACUGAAACCAAAAUAGAGAAGGGAAAAAGCAAAAUUUAGGUGAAACAGAAUUUAAAAAAUAAUAUCUGAGCUGUACUUCCUAAAAAGCUAAAAUUCUAGGCAAUUGCAAUUGAAUAUUUUUAUUCUGUCAAUUCUUUUAUUCUGGAUAUAUUGCUGCGGCAAAUGUUCAUCUCACUAUCUGAAACAAGUAUUUUUAUGGAGCAGAGUAGAAGAACAAAUAAUCUGAACUGAUUAUAUUUAGCAAAUUUUUAGAAAAAGAACCAAUUUCCUGUACUACAAGAAGACUGCAACCAGCACACCUAUCCAUCCUUGUAACUGUUCUCUUGUAUUACUAGGAAAAACUUGGCAGUCAUUGUUACAGAGUAGCAGCAUUCAAGACUAGUAAAACAACAAAUUCCUGUGAAAACAGAGACUCAGCAUGCACAGCAGUCACAUUUUAAGCUUCAGUAUUAUAACUAUUCUUAAUUUUUAAAAAACCAAAAUAAACUACCCACCAAAAACCAGAAGUCCAAGUUAAUUGAAAGGACAUAUAGAAAUUCUUUUUGAGAAGGAUCACCAAAUCUGAAAAAGAAAUCAAAACCACUUUUGCAUUACUUUUGCUUAGUACCUCCAUGACUUUGAUAACUAAUUUAUUUUAAAGUUUGUAAAAGAAAAAAAAACCAACCCUGUUCUUGGACUAAGACUUCACUUAUCAUGUUUCAUCCUAGAGGGAAUUUUUAUAGCAGAGUUAUAAACCC